AUGUGUUUUGUACGCUUGUGCGCUCGUCAUUUGCCGUCAUCGCGCGGAGAUAUUUGCGCUGGAUGUGUUUCACUUCGUCUACAAAACUCUGCACGCUGCGGCAUCGAAGCAGUUGUCCUGUGUUUGGGUGCACGUAUGCGCUUGGACACGGAUAUAUCCUGCUUGCUCUCAACGGGUGUUCAACAGUCUACGCGCACUCGUAACUUGCUCAUGAGGCAAGUUGCUGUUGUGCUGGAGCUGAGAAGAGGUCUGCUGCCUGCAAUGGGCCCAUCUCUCUCAAGUUAUCGCAGUAUUGUAGCUCUCAAAGUUCAAAAAAGUGUGGUGGAAGCUGUUGCCAAGGUUCCGAGCAGAAAAGACAGCCAGUAUAAAAGGGUCCACACCACUGAUCUCUACUACAGGGGAUGGACAGCACAUCGAGCACCCUCGACUGAAGCCAACCUUGUCCCGGAAGUUGGCGCUUCACAACUUUGCGACAGCUCUUCGUUUGCACGGGUGUGUGGCAUUUCUUCCCCUAACAUGCCUGCCUGAUGUGCCAUAACCUACCCAAGCAGUGUUUCGAGGUGUCCAGAAUUUUUCCAUUGCAGUUUCUACAGUGUAUAACAUAAGUGGCGUGCAAUGGGGACACUGGUAAAUGAGAAAAAACUUGAUGUAAGAGAACACUAUCGUAUACGGGUUCAGAUUGUCAUAAAAGCGCUUACCAGACAUGUAGAGACCUCCUAAAAUGUAAAAAACCACAAAGAAAAGUUUUUCGGCAGCAAUAUUAUCUGAUCGCACGCACUAGUUAGUCCACCAUAUGCCCUGCUUCCAGGACAAGUGCCUGCAUGACACCGCAUUUCCACUGGCUUCACCUGCAUCCGGUGCGGUGUGCUGCAUCGAGCAAAACAUUCGAAAUCACUGGUGCACAGUGUUUUCUGUCCCCUUUCUCGACACCUACUGAACACAUGGUAAACUGUUUCCAAAGCAAAAAAACAGAGGGAAAGGGCUCUGAACACA